UACGUAGGGGGCUAGCGUUGUCCGGAUUUAUUGGGCGUAAAGAGCGUGUAGGCGGCCAGGUAGGUCUGCUGUGAAAACUCGAGGCUUAACCUCGAGAUGUCGGCGGAAACCAUCUGGCUAGAGUCCGGAAGAGGAGAGUGGAAUUCCUGGUGUAGCGGUGAAAUGCGCAGAUAUCAGGAAGAACACCCGUGGCGAAGGCGGCUCUCUGGGACGGUACAGACGCUGAGACGCGAAAGCGUGGGGAGCGAACAGG
rnacentral:rRNA from 1 species